GAUGAAGAACGUAGCGAAAUGCGAUAAGUAGUGUGAAUUGCAGAAUUCAGUGAAUCAUCGAAUCUUUGAACGCACAUUGCGCCCCUUGGUAUUCCAUGGGGCAUGCCUGUUCGAGCGUCAUUUGUACCUUCAAGCUUUGCUUGGUGUUGGGUGUUUGUCUCGCCUUUGCGUGUAGACUCGCCUUAAAAUAAUUGGCAGCCGGCGUAUUGAUUUCGGAGCGCAGUACAUCUCGCGCUUUGCACUCAUAACGACAGCGUCCAAAAGUACAUUUUACACUCUUGACCUCGGAUCAGGUAGGGAUACCCGCUGAACUUAAGCAUAUCAAUAAGGCGGAGGA
rnacentral:misc_RNA from 1 species